rnacentral:rRNA from 1 species
GGAGCCGCGAAAGGUGUAGAAUUCGUUGGACGCCCACUGGGAAAAACCGGUUCUUGGGAUUUUUUGACUCUGAAACACGCAAGCCAGCGGGCGAACCGGAUUAGAAACCCCGGUAUCUUGGCCGUAAAACAAUGUCGAUAGAUUCGUGCGCCUCUACGCGUUCACCAGUGGAAGCAAAAGUGGUAAGUCGCCCCCGCUGGAAGGUACGGUCGCAAGGCUAAAACUCAAAGGAAUUGACGGGGGCUCACACAACCGGUGGAGCAUGUGGUUAAUUCGACGCAACGCGAAGAACCCUACCUGGGCUCGAACGGCUGCGGACCGUUUUUGGANACAGGAGCUUUCCCGCAAGGGACCGUAGUCGAGGUGCUGCAUGGCUGUCGUCAGCUCGUGUCGUGAGAUGUUGGGUUAAGUCCCGCAACGAGCGCAACCCUUGUCCUGUGUUGCUAAUUCGCAAGAAUGCACUCUCAGGAGACCGCCAGCGAUAAGCUGGAGGAAGGUGGGGAUGACGUCAAGUCAUCAUGGCCUUUAUGUCCAGGGCUACACACGUGCUACAAUGGGCGGUACAAAGCGUUGCCAACCCGCGAGGGGGAGCUAAUCGCAAAAAACCGUCCUCAGUUCGGAUUGCAGGCUGCAACCCGCCUGCAUGAAGCUGGAAUCGCUAGUAAUGGCAUAUCAGAACGAUGCCGUGAAUACGUUCCCGGGCCUUGUACACACCGCCCGUCACAUCACGAAAGUGGGUUGUACUAGAAGUCUGCACGCCAACCGAAAGGGGGCAGCGGCCCAAGGUAUGACUCAUGAUUGGGGUGAAGUCGUAACAAGUGUAAAUCGAAUUCCCGCGGCC